UGAUAUGGGUGUCGUUUUGUGGGUUUUUGUGAUGAAUUGUUACAUGGCCACUUCACCUGUAACGAUAUGGUACUCGUCUCCGAAGUUCCAAAUCUAAUGAAUGUCCAAUCAGAAUCCAGUUCGAAACACAAAAUCACAAGUACCACGGUCCACAAUAACUGACCGUAACAAUUCAAAUU